rnacentral:lncRNA from 11 species
CAGGAGUGAAGAUCAUAGGACAGGAGUUUUGGAGACGGGGAGAAAGAAAAUGUAGAGAGCAAUUCCAGAGUGCUGAGCCGGAUGGCAGGUUGGAAAUGAUGGGUCUGACCCUUGCAGAGUACAACAUGAUGUGGAAAAGUUCUGAAGUUCCAAGGUGACAUCUCUUUCAUGAAAAGGAUGCAAGUAAGAGGAGAAGCUUGGAAGUAAGAAAAGAGUUUGUUAUUUUUUCAAUUCUAGUAAUAA